rnacentral:rRNA from 1 species
AUACGGAGGAUCCGAGCGUUAUCCGGAUUUAUUGGGUUUAAAGGGUGCGCAGGCGGGAGAUUAAGUCGGCGGUGAAAUUUUUCAGCUCAACUGUAAAAGUGCCUUCGAAACUGGUUUCCUUGAGUGUAGAUGAAGUAGGCGGAAUUUGUGGUGUAGCGGUGAAAUGCAUAGAUAUCACGAGGAACUCCGAUUGCGCAGGCAGCUUACUAAACUACUACUGACGCUCAGGCACGAAGGCGUGGGGAUCAAACAGGAUUAGAUACCCUGGUAGUCCACGCAGUAAACGAUGAUUACUAGCUGUUUGCGAUACAAUGUAAGCGGCUGAGCGAAAGCGUUAAGUAAUCCACCUGGGGAGUACGUUCGCAAGAAUGAAACUCAAAUGAAUUGACGGGG